rnacentral:rRNA from 1 species
AGUGACGCUGGCGGCGUGCCUAUACAUGCAGUCCAGCGAACAGAGAAGGAGCUUGCUCCUUUGACGUUAGCGGCGGACGGGUGAGUAACACGUGGGCAACCUACCUUAUAGUUUGGGAUAACUCCGGGAAACCGGGGCUAAUACCGAAUAAUCUGUUUCACCUCAUGGUGAAAUAUUGAAAGACGGUUUCGGCUGUCGCUAUAGGAUGGGCCCGCGGCGCAUUAGCUAGUUGGUGAGGUAACGGCUCACCAAGGCGACGAUGCGUAGCCGACCUGAGAGGGUGAUCGGCCACACUGGGACUGAGACACGGCCCAGACUCCUACGGGAGGCAGCAGUAGGGAAUCUUCCACAAUGGGCGAAAGCCUGAUGGAGCAACGCCGCGUGAGUGAAGAAGGAUUUCGGUUCGUAAAACUCUGUUGUAAGGGAAGAACAAGUACAGUAGUAACUGGCUGUACCUUGACGGUACCUUAUUAGAAAGCCACGGCUAACUACGUGCCAGCAGCCGCGGUAAUACGUAGGUGGCAAGCGUUGUCCGGAAUUAUUGGGCGUAAAGCGCGCGCAGGUGGUUUCUUAAGUCUGAUGUGAAAGCCCACGGCUCAACCGUGGAGGGUCAUUGGAAACUGGGAGACUUGAGUGCAGAAGAGGAUAGUGGAAUUCCAAGUGUAGCGGUGAAAUGCGUAGAGAUUUGGAGGAACACCAGUGGCGAAGCGACUAUCUGGUCUGUAACUGACACUGAGGCGCGAAAGCGUGGGGAGCAACAGGAUUAGAUACCCUGGUUAGUCCACGCC